AGAGUUUGAUCCUGGCUCAGAGCGAACGCUGGCGGCAGGCCUAAUACAUGCAAGUCGAACGGCUCUUCGGAGCAGUGGCGGACGGGUGAGUAACGCGUGGGAACGUGCCCUUUGGUUCGGAACAACACAGGGAAACUUGUGCUAAUACCGAAUGUGCCCUUCGGGGGAAAGAUUUAUCGCCAUUGGAGCGGCCCGCGUUGGAUUAGCUAGUUGGUGGGGUAAAGGCCCACCAAGGCUACGAUCCAUAGCUGGUCUGAGAGGAUGAUCAGCCACACUGGGACUGAGACACGGCCCAGACUCCUACGGGAGGCAGCAGUAGGGAAUCUUGCGCAAUGGGCGAAAGCCUGACGCAGCCAUGCCGCGUGAAUGAUGAAGGUCUUAGGAUUGUAAAAUUCUUUCACCGGGGAAGAUAAUGACGGUACCCGGAGAAGAAGCCCCGGCUAACUUCGUGCCAGCAGCCGCGGUAAUACGAAGGGUGCGAGCGUUGUCCGGAAUUACUGGGCGUAAAGAGCUCGUAGGUGGUUUGUCACGUUGUCCGUGAAAACUCACAGCUUAACUGUGGGCGUGCGGGCGAUACGGGCAGACUGGAGUACUGUAGGGGAGACUGGAAUUCCUGGUGUAGCGGUGGAAUGCGCAGAUAUCAGGAGGAACACCGGUGGCGAAGGCGGGUCUCUGGGCAGUAACUGACGCUGAGGAGCGAAAGCGUGGGGAGCGAACAGGAUUAGAUACCCCGGUAGUCCAA
rnacentral:rRNA from 1 species